UGUUCUGAUAGUGGCACCUGUGGGAUUUAGCACUCCUUUUAUCUCUAAGGCCAAUGCAGCAGUGCUUUAGUCCUUUAGUCUGUCCAGUCCUGUACACUCUAUACAUUCUGCUCAAACAGGUCAGGUUCUAAAGCUUACAUUUUCAUGCCAAUGCUUCAUGCUAAUCAUCUCAUAGCUUGAAUGGGGUCUCUGCCUUAUUUCAGCACAAUGGUGUUGUAUAGCUGUAUUGAAUUCUGAGUUUAACAUUUUCAGUCUCUACUACUUCUACAUUGGAUUUAUCUUUAAAAAGACACUGAACAUCGCUGGGAAAUGGGUCACGGGGAGCCCGGACCCUAUCCCAGGGAACUUGGGGCACAAGGCAUGGGACACCUUGGACGGGGUACCAACACACCCAUUCAAACACCACAGGAGAUUUGGAAAUGUCAAUCAUGUCUUUGGACUGGAAGUACCUGGAGAAAACCCCAGAAGCAUGAGCAGUGUGCUUGACGAGGACAGCUGCGGUGCAGCCCGUCGGAGGGAGAGACUUCAGAGCCAGGUGAAUUCCCGAGCAGACGGUUUGAUCUCGAAUACAUGUAUUCCAUCUCUUCUCUGUCACUGGGGAACUAGGCGUCAAGGUCAGAACUCAAAGACAAGUGUGCACGGCAGGAGACGCUCGGCGGCGAGCCAUCGCACACUCUUGCUCUGGCCCUUUGCUUUUGUGCGCAUCAUUGCAGCAUCAGAAGCGCUAGACUGACACUAGUGAAGUCCCUGGGUAGCAGCCAUCACUACCUGUUUCUCCAUCUCCCAGAAGAAGCAAGCUCUUGUUUUAAUUGCAUCAUUAAUAUCAUUACAGCUGAAGAGCCAAUUAUCGUCUCUGCUUUUCACCUGGGCUUUGUGUUCGUUAGACAAAGAAUGACUGUGUGUGACCUUACUGGUGAGGUGAAAUUCACCAUGACUGAGGGCUAAGGUCAAACCUCCAGUGCCAUCCAACUGAUACUGGGGAGAAAACAGUCGGGUGUAAAACCUGGAUGCUGCUACUAUUGGCUUUCCUUUGAAAGUCAAUCUUUGCACUUUUUUUUUUUUUCUUUUUUUUUUUCCCCUAACUAGUGUUGCUUUGCAGUUUUCUCACCAAGAUUAUUAUUAUUUUUUUACAAGCAGAUCUGGCAACAAUUUCGCCUUCCUGAAUUCUAUUGGCUCCAGUCAAAAGCUUAAGCUCCUGUGGCUGAGCCAAAAUAUCACAGUGCAGAUUUCAGUUAGCACCAAAUAAAAAGUGCUUUCUAGGAAGUAAACUAAUUAAGGUUAAUUAUCUAUAUUAAGUUUUUAUUUAAUUUUUUUAUUUUAUUUUAUUUUAAAUGUUAUAGUAGGGUAGAUGCAUAGACAGCAUUCGGGGACUUAAAACUGUUGCGCUGGUUGUCUUAACACGUCUACUCAAAUUAGCUUAAAUCCCGUUACCAUAUUUAGUCUGCAAACUGGCACGUGUCAUCAUGCAUCACAUCCCAACUCCUACUGUCAGGUUGUAUUGUCAAAUACGUCACCCCGGCUGUGUCACAUCAUGUUACAAUUAUGCAUAGAUUCUAGCACGGAGUCUGACACCAUUUUGAAGUGCACUCAUGACAUUUUUUUCAUUCACUUUGUUUCACACAUUUGUCAUUUUAUACUAUUUAUCAACAUCUUGUGGUAUUUUAAUGAUUUGGCCUGCCAGCUGAAAAGAAUGACAUCCUCUCAAGAAUAUACAAGUUAGACUAGUCCUACAUAUUUUAUACCACGUCCUCGGUCUGAAAUAUUGCCUUUCCUUUUUUAAGCCUCUCAGUGUUAUUGGACCUAUUUUCAAACAUGUGUUAAAUAUAUGAUGUGUGUGCUCCAUCAUUCACAUCACAUCAAGGACCACAGUGUGUCUGUCCAAGAAAAAUUAGCUAGUGGACUGCUAUAACUGAUGGAAAGUUGACAUCUCACACGUCUCCCCAUCUUGUCUUCUGAGCCUCCGGAUGACAAAUCCUAGACCUGGUGUGUAAUGAGUGUAGUUGACAUGUGACUAGUGUCUCAUUACAAACAGCUUUUUGGUGUGGAAACACCUCCCGGACCACACCAUUUUUCACAUCCGCUCUCUGGCUAAAAACAUUGAUGAAUAAAACAACAGAAAAGCAAUCAGUCUGAGCAAAGGGAUGUGUCGGAGAGUGAGUGAGAGCCACUCUGGUCAGUUGACAGAUCCAGACACUCUGUUAAAAAGAGCAUGACUACGCUACCACGUAGUUUGUAAUAAUAUAGUACAAAGGCAUGAGUGUACUUAUUUCCUCUUGGAAAACCAGAUUAAAACGUAGCUAAGUCUGAGUUUCAGACUUUCUCUGUUAUAUGUAGUAGUUGAUGAGGUAUAUCAUCUUAGGUGAUACUUUGCCAUCUUGUAAUAAUAUUCCUAAUGACAUAUAAAAUAGUUGAGCACAACAUUUUUAAGAUUUCGCAAUAUUAUAUGUCAAAUAUAAUGAUUUAUAUCAAAUGCAGAAUUGUGCCCCAAGCACCAGAGCUCCAUAUUCUAAUGAAUAAUUCAACUGUAAUUCAGUUAUUCCCUAUGGCAUCUGUUUCCUGGAAGCUUAAUUAAUUUACAUUUCAUUCACUGUGUGACCCCAUAAUCAAAUUAGACUUAUAUGACAAAUGAACACAUCUGUAAAAGUAUCAAUCUUGUGCCUUUCUUAGGGGGGGAAAAAUCUCUUAUUUGGUUUCCGGUUUGGAAUCACACACAUUUCAACCCAUACACUUUCUUUCUUUUGUAUUUUGUCCUAGAUUGUGCAGUGGUGCUAGUUUUUAUAAGAUGACACCACCACUGUGGUCAAUACACAGGAGUGGAAAAUCAGUAAUUAUACUGUGACUGUGUCCAGAGAGAAUCAUCAGCUUAUGAAAACUCAUAACCACAGGCCAUGCAAGUCCUGUGAUAGAAUGAUAGAAGGCCUCAAACACAGCGAGUGACAGAGAGAAAAGCCGAGAAGCAGGGAGAGAGAAAGAGAGUAGACAGAAAGAGCUUUCUCUACGGAGGGUGGAAUCAAUCUGGAGGCCGACUCAAUCUUUCAGUCUUAUCUAGCAUGCUGGUGCAGACCACAGCUCCAGAUUGCAGAUGAUCUACAUGCCUUUAUGUAAGUGCAGCUAAUCUGUCACGGCUUCUGGGAGGUGGAGAGAGACGCAUAGCGCUGUGGUGCUUCAUCAACCUGAUGCAGCUUUUUCCUGAGGCCUUAUACACUGCACAGCUAGUCUAAAUGAGACCUGUCCACCAAGCUGCUAUUACUUCUUUACUAAUCAACGUGUAAAUAAAAUAGAAUGAAUAGUGUAUAUAUAGCAGUGGUACUCGAAGAUGGGAGCUGCUGAAUGUUAUAAGUAAGAUGGAUUAGUUGAACCUGUAAAUGUUUCAAAUAUGAUAAAACAAUGAAAAAUGUCAAAUGCGCAAAUAUUUGAUUCUUUACAGCUUUAGAUAUAUAAUUAGGCCGAAACACCGUCGGAAAAUUGCAUGCAGAUAGAGUACAUGAGCUAUUCAACUGUAAACUGAAAUCUGUACUAUAGCCCUGAAGGAAUUUAUGGAAUUUCUGAUAAGUGUUAGAAAGCAAGAAUCUAAUUAAACAUUACAAAAAACAAUCAUGACAUGAAAAUAUAAAUUUACAUCAAUUAUUAUCAUAAGAGCAGCUUGGACUUUUUAGGAUUGUUGUGUAUUUAAUUUUAUGCACCUACAGUAUUUUUUUGUAUAUUAGGUAGAGGUUUUAUUUGUAGUGGGUGGGGCUAAUGGAACUGUGGACAAAUGUAUGGAGGGCUCUGUAAAAAAAUAUAACAAUAAUAUUAAAUACUGUAUAAUAUUUAUUAUUAUUAUUAUUAUUAUUAGUUAUUACAUUUAAUAUAGUAAUUUUAUCUUCCAAUGCAAUCAUAGUUUCUCCUGUUUAAUAGAAAUUUUAUGUAUAUAUCAAUCAAUCUUGGUGUAAUGGUCUGCUAUAGUGGUCAGUAUACUAGAACUUUGAAAUCAUCAUUCGGUACCUCGUUUCAAUUAAAACAAACACCUCUCCAACUACAUGUUGGUGUUCUCUAAGCUGUCAUUUAUUCACCUUUACUGUUUAAUCACAGUAACUGCUCUGUUUGCAAAAAUGAUCUCACAGACCUUUAAGACGCCAAUGACCACUUCUAACUAGUGCCUCAUAUGUAUGUAUCCACAUUCAUCCCUUAUUAUAUUCUCCUACUUUCUUGGG